UAAAAUGAGGACUCCAACAUUGCGAGAUGAUUCCUGUGAUUUCAAAACAGAACCAAGAGUAUUUUUAAAGAGACCAUUCUGACGAGCUGUUUGGGUCCAGCUGACACCCAUAUGCGCGAGUUGAUGUGGAGAAAGUUUUUACAAAAUGGAAUCGGGAGCUAAAGAAGUCAUCAGGACACAUCAGAUCCGACGUGCGUGGCGCCAGAGUUAACGCUGAAGCCCAGCACAGUCCGGGGUCUCCCAUUCCCCUUCAUCCACCCUCUGUGCUCCACAGCGACUGUCAAACACAGGCUCAUCAUUCAAAAGCUCUCUCUCCAAAAAAAGAUACGUUUAAGAAAACACAUACACACCCAUGUAGAUCACUGAGCCAACUAAAUAACAAACGACGGCAUAACUGAUCCAUUUACUCUUGUAAUAGCUGCUGCUAAUAAUGAAUGUAGGUGAAUUAAUUAGUGUGUGGUGGCAUUCCGAUUAUUGAAGGGUCGUUUGGACAUUAAAUUUAAAAGUUUUCUCGAUUUGUUAGUGGCCAAUAAACCUGCAGAAAAAAUAUAUUUAUCUUCACUGUCUUUUUAACGCCUCCUCUGAAAUGUAUUGCUGACGGAAAUACAAAUGCAAUGCCCACCAAAACACUGACAGAAAACAUAUAGGAACAGAAAAAACAAAUAGAACAAUAGGUAUCGAAAUAUAUUAUCAGAAAACAUGUGGACAAAAAAGUCCCACAAUUAUCAAUACUGCAAACACUUGAUCAUAAACAAUAUAAUUUUUUGAAUCAAGAUGUUUUUUAUGCUUUUACAUUUUGUGCGUAAUUUGACUUAGGCUUACAUUUUUGUUGAAAAUAAUAACAAUAAUAAUGAUAAUAAUAACAAUAACAACAAGAACAAUAAUAAUAAUAAUAAUAAUAAUAAUAAUAAUAAUAAUAAUAAUAAUGUAGGCCCAGUGUAAUACAAAAAGCUCCAACAGUUAAUUCAGCAAAAAAAGAAGAAGAAAUUAUAUAAAUGACUCAUUCAAUUUUAUUUUAUUUUGUUAUUUAGUAUUUGUGGUAUUAAUAUUUUCCAUCUACAUUAUUAUUCGUGAAUUUAAUUGAACUUCCUUGGGUUAUUCAUUGUUGCUGAAGACCAUAUAAUACACUGUAUUUCUUUGUGUAUCUUUAUAUCAGAUAUCUAACACACGCAUGUUUGCUUUGCAGACAUUCACGUUAAAAGGGAAGUAAGAGAAACAUUACAAGAACUCAAUGAGACAACAUUUUUCAGUCCAUUACUUGAAUUUUGUGUAAAGCAAAAAUUACACUAAAAUGGGAGUAUUAUAUUUUGGGCUAAAUAGUUGACCAUAUCGGCUACUGCCGACCAGACUUUUUCCUCUCUGCCAGCCGUCGGGAUCAUUGAACACAACCAAGAUCUUACCGUCGCUUGCUUAAUGAGCAGCUAACCCAUGUUAUGGACAUGCCGGUGGCUUUGGGACUAUUCAACAGUCGUGGUCCCGGUCGGAGACACACUGACAACUUGUCCGUCCUCCUGUGUGCAGCGGGAGCGUCGAGGCGAGCCUGAAAUGUAACUGUGUACAUUCUCUGCUUCCUCACAUUAAUGUUUUGUAAACAAUAAGGAGAUAUGGGCGCGUUUGAAAGCCAAGUGUAUUCUAAACACUCUCCCAAAAAUAAUAAAUACGAGUGUUUAACAAGAAAUUAUGUUUCGGCGAGUGUAACUAACCUUUACAUAAACUAUAGGCUGCAGCAGAAAGGUUCUUCUUGAUUUGAAGUUAGGCAUGUUAACACAUAAUACAUCAGUUUAAUGCUGUUGUUUUUUUAGGACAAAGAAAAACACUUUAAUCUCGUUUUUAGUCCCGUGUUUGUGGAGAAAAGUGUCGACCAGCCCCCAUAACAUGUUACAGUUCUACCUCUGCAACACAUACACACACAUAAAACACAUACUACUUUUUUUUUGACAAACUUUGAGCUAUACAUUUCUU
ensembl:lncRNA